rnacentral:lncRNA from 1 species
AUGGACCAGAGACAGUGUCAUAGAAUCCUUCUCGGCAAUGGCAGAAACAGUGCUUUAUUUGUUAUGACUGUGCAAAAACCCACCUGGAAAACAUUGCUCUCAGAGUCCGAGGUGGCCACCGUGUGGGUGCAGAGGAGUGUGGAUGGAGACCAGCUCAAGCCAGAGGUACUACUGUCCUGUUAGCUCGCUGGGAGUGGCUCGGGGUGGUUAGGCCAUAUCACCACAUAUUCAGAAGAGGAUCGAAAGCAAAGCAAGCCCAGGCUUUGGGGGAUGAAUUCAGUAGCUGUGGAUAUUCAGGAUAAUCCAAGUUCAGACCUUUUUCCUCAUUAUUUGGAUCAUACUCACACAUAAUGAGUAUGAUCACAUACUCACAUAAUGACUUCCCUUGACUUACUUUUUUUUUUCUUUUUUAAGUACAGUUUUAGACUGAGUCUAAACGUCUAAAGUCAACCAGAGUCAGGGGAUUAUUAAUCUGCAGAAUUUGAUUCCCACAGACAAGUAAUUUCAGUACAUCCCAGGACAAACCCACCCAUUAUAUUAUUCAUUUAAUCAUGUUGCUGUCUUCUUAUUUUCAUUUAUUUUUUAUUUUUGUUUUUGUUUUUGUUUUUCAUUUAUUUUUUUAAAGAGUGAAGAGAAAUCUUUAUUUUUAAAAAUUAAUUAAUUUAUUAAUUUAUAGACAGAGAGUGUGUGUACAGGGAGAGGGGCAGAGAGAGAGAGAGAAUCUCAGCAGAUUCUUUUGCUGAGUGUGGAGCCCUACAUGGGGCUCACUUCACAACCCUGAGGUCAUGACUGAAAUCAAGAGUCAGUUAUUCAUUUGAUUGAGCCCCCUAGGUGCCCCCAUGUUGCUGUCUUUUUUAAAAUAGACUUUUUUUAGAACAGUUUAAGAUUUACAGAAAAGUUAUAGAAAUAGUACAGAGACCUACUGUUAUACCCUACACCCAAUUUCCUUUAUUAUGGAAUCUUACAUCAGUACGGUUUAUUUGUUACAAUGAAUGAUUGAAUACUGAUAGAUUACUAUUAACUAAAACCCAUAGUUUAUUCAGAUUUUCUUUGUUUCUAACCAAUAUCCUUUUUCUGUUCUCGAAUUUCCUUUGGAAUACCACAUCAUGCUUCGUUGUCAUGUCUCCUUAGGCUUCUCCUGGCAGGGACAGUUUCACAGACUUUUCUUGUUUCUGUGACCUCAACAGUUUUGAGGAGUUGUCAGGUGUUUUUUUUUUUUUUUUUUUCAAAAUGUCCCUUUAUUAGAAAUUGUCUAAUAUUUUCCCUCACGAUUAGAGGGGUUUAGCAGUGUUGAUACUGACUUUGAUUAUCUGGCGCGGUGGUGUUUGUUGGGUUUCUCCAUUGUAAAGUUAUUCUUCAUCCCCCCCUGUUUCCAUACUGUAUCCUUUGGAAGGAAGUCACCAUGCCCAACCCAUAGCUAGGGACUGAGAAUUUAUGCUCUCCCUCCUUGAGGAUGGAGUAUGUAUGUAAAUUGUUUGGAAUUCUUCAUGGGAGAUUUGUCUCUUCUUCAUUCACUUAUCUACUCGAUCAUUUAUUUAUAUCAGCAUGGACUCAUAGAGAUCUAUUUUC